rnacentral:ncRNA from 1 species
CGUUUGAACAGAACCUUUACCGAAAGAUUUUUCACCCAAAAGAAUGGCUCUGUGAUGAUCUUGCAAAGCACCUGACACAAUUUCCGAUGCAGAAGCGGAACCUUCGUUAAUCAAAACUACAAUCGGCAAACCUUUUGCAACAUCGCCGCUGUGCGCCGCAUAUUUUAUCGUAUCUUCUUCGUUUCUUGAGCGAGUAGAAACAAUUUCACCCUUGUCCAAAAACAAGUCCGAAACCGCAACCGCCUGAUCAAGCAAACCACCCGGGUUAUUUCUUA